CGGAGAUCAAAGCUUAACCUCAAUCCAAAAGGAGUCUGAAAUUCAUCCUUAAAGCAUCUUGGAGCCAGUGGGCUUCUUAUAACCCUCAACAAACCGUGCAGAUUCACAGCAGACGGCCAUUGGAAACGUCUGGCCACAACUCACUUAAACAGAAAAGGCUGAAACAAUCUCACAAGUGCAGGAGCUGGCUGCUCCACAAAUCAAACCACCACAAAGUCUGCAAAUAGCGGAAACGCGAUGUGUAAACGCGCACAGGAGUAGCGAUAGCAGGGGGCCGUUGGAACGGGGAACAAAAGGUACAGGUGAAAAUGUAAGCAGCCGUUUUAAAUCAGGUUUUGGAUUUGAGUCAAGACAGAUCCAGAGGAAAGGUUUGGUUUAACAUUGCCCGUCUCAAAACCACUCAAGUCAUGCUAAGGUAGCAAGGCCAGGCAGCUGGAGGGGCGGCAGCUUUUGAUGUACGCUUGUGCCAUUUAAUAACCGAAGGAGCUCAAAUUAAGUCAGUUCUCUNNNNNNNNNNGUGAAAAUGUAAGCAGCCGUUUUAAAUCAGGUUUUGGAUUUGAGUCAAGACAGAUCCAGAAGAAAGGUCUGCUUUAACAUUGCCCGUCUCAAAACCACUCAAGUCAUGCUAAGGUAGCAAGGCCAGGCAGUUGGAGGGGCGGCAGCUUUUGAUGUACGCUUGUGCCAUUUAAUAACCGAAGGAGCUCAAAUUAAGUCAGUUCUCAGAUGAUAUUUUAAUGAAAAGUGUGACUGCCCAUCAUAUUCCAAGGAGCUUUAAGCAUAUUACUUGUUCGCUUAAGUGUUUCUCUCAUCAAACAGAAACAAGCUGGAAAGAGAGGAGGUUUGGAUCCUCCACAAUAUCUGAUGCAAUCCAGCUACAGUCAGCAUUUCACUAUUUCACUGUUCGUUCCCAAGCCCUCCUCCCGUGAACUGCCAGGACUGAGCAUGGAAGCUUCUUCCUUCCCCACGCGAGCUGACUCAGGAGUGUCACCCCAACAUAGUCACAUUGCUUUUAUUUAGGUCUUCUGCCAACAGUUACAGGGUAACAGACACUUGGGACUGCAAAGUCAAAGUUGCAAGCAAAAAUCAGGACCGAGGCAAAAAAAAAUAAUAAUAAAAAAAAUAAAAAUCCACAAAAGCAAUCAAAUCAAAUAUAAAUACAAUGUUCUGGAGCUCUUUAAUCAUACCGUUUUCUUUAAUAAAGAGGUGGUUAUGAUCUUACAGUAUUUUCUUUUGGCCUAAUCCAAGGAUUUUGUUACUCUUUACCAGUCUUAAUUCCACGCAUACAAAAAAAAAAAAGUUGAUAUUCAACCUUUAAAAUAUAAGCCAUAUUUUCUUAAUAAAAUAAGUUUUGUGCUGCUGCUUGUUUAGUAAGUACUGUACAUCAAC
rnacentral:lncRNA from 1 species